GGCGCCCUGGCCAGGCUGGUGGCGUGGCGGCUCGCCUUCGUCGUGCCGCUGCUGCUGGUGGUGACGGCCGCGAUGUUCGGGCUCGCCAAGGCGUCCCC
rnacentral:tRNA from 1 species